AACCAACUAAGUGCAUUAUUGCCAAAAGUGACUGUUUAUUAAAAAUUACAUAUUUUCUGUAAUGGCGCUGUUUUUCUGUAAUGGCCCUGUUUUUUCUGUAAUGACCCUGUUUUUCUGUAAUGGCCCUGUAUUAAUGCCCAGUUUGUCUGUAUUAAGCCCUGUUAGCGGGGUUUUUAAUAAAGGUAAUAAAACUAAGUUGUAAAGAGUAUAAUACCUUUUUGUAUUUUAUUUAAUUUAGUAACCAGCACCAACAUUAAAGAACCAUAUAAAGGGAUCACUGAUCAUCCUGUUUUUUAACACAUAUCUCUUUCAACUUAAUAUCUUGGAUAUUUGGUAUAUUUAAAGCUUUACAAUGGUGAAGUACAAAUUAUUUUGUUCAAAUUAAACUGUCAUUAAAAGAGUAAGACAGUACAUCAAGUUAGCAGCAACACAUACACUUUUGUUCAGUUGGUUAAUAAAUGUAUUAAGAAA
rnacentral:lncRNA from 1 species